rnacentral:rRNA from 1 species
UACCUGCAGCUCGAGUGGUAACCGCUAUUAUUGGGCCUAAAGCGUCCGUAGCCGGUUUGGUAAAUAUCUGGGUAAAUCGUGAGGCUUAACUUCACGAAUUUCGGAUAGACUGCCAGACUUGGGAUCGGGGGAGGUCAGAGGUACUCCAGGGGUAGCGGUGAAAUGUUGUAAUCCUUGGAGGACCACCGGUAGCGAAGGCGUCUGACUAGAACGAGUCCGACGGUGAGGGACGAAGCCCUGGGGGCGCAAACCGGAUUAGAUACCCGGGUAGUCCAGGGUGUAAACGAUGUGGGCUUUGUAUUGGAGGUCCCACGUGGGCGUCCAGUGCAGAAGAGAAGUUGUUAAGCCCACCGCCUGGGAAGUACGGUCGCAAGGCUGGAACUUAAAGGAAUUGGCGGGGGAGCACAGCAACGGGAGGAGCGUGCGGUUU